GACGAACGCUGGCGGCAUGCCUAACACAUGCAAGUCGAACGAACCCUUCGGGGUUAUUGGCGCACGGGGGCGUAACGCGUGGGAAUCUGCCCUUUGCUUCGGAAUAACUCAGUGAAACUUGUGCUAAUACCGGUUGAUGUCUUCGCACCAAGGAUUUAGCGGCAAGGGAUGAGCCCGCGUAGGUUUAGGUGGUUGGUGGGGUAAAGGCCUGCCAAGCCGACGAUCCUUAGCUGGUCGGAUAGGAUGAUCUGCCACGAUGGGAAUGAGACCCGGACCAGUACCCUACGGGAGGGAGGGGUGGGGUGUAUUAGGCAAGGGGCGCAAGCGUGAUACAGCCAUGCCGCGUGAGAGAUGAAGGCGCUUGGGUCGUACAGCUCUUUUACCCGGGAUGAUAAUGACAGUACCUGGAGAAUAAGCUCCGGCUAACUCCGUG
rnacentral:rRNA from 1 species